rnacentral:lncRNA from 1 species
CAAAAGAUAAAUGAGAAUUUAAAAAACCCCAAGAGAAUAAUAACACUGUCUCCUCACCGUAAAGAAUCAAAAGCCGUAAUCAUCAGGCGUCCGAUCAUGGUCUGAGUUUUGUUUGUGCCUUGCUCUGAAGCCUGCAUAGUAUUCCACUUGGCAUCUCUGUUUUCCUCGGGUCGUGAUUUUUGCUUCCUCACUGUGUGCAGAGACAAAACUCCAGGAGGAAGUGUCCCAGGAUCUGCCGGAUCUCUACAAGGAGUGCUCAUGGGGCCUGGAGGGGAGGCCCUCUGGCCUUGGAGCACUGUGGCGCUUUCUCUAUGAUGGGUUUGGUCGGAGAACUGUUGCUGCAGGAUUAAACGAGACAGCGUGUCAAGUGCCUCGCUCCGUGCGUGCUUCUCCCGGCUUUUUCCCGGGCGAUCAAAGCUAGCGGUGGGGGCUGUGGCAACUCUCUGACCCACAUCCAGGUGUGAGUAAGAACCGUGACCUUCUGUUGCUUGGGACACUGUCAGAUCCUCAGAAGCAGGAAACAGAGUCGGUUAAGAGGUCAAGUGACACAGCAGAUCAUCAGUAUACCUCCAGGUUCCAAAUCUGUGUUCUGGCUCAGCGUAGACACGAGGCUCCUAGAGCCGACAGGGACCUUGGUGUGAAGCAUCUCCUGAGCUACUUCCAGCAUACUCAGCAUCUCUGGAAUCUGACUGUGAGUCUGGUGGGGGAC